GGCUCACCAUUCAAGAGUACAGUGUGUGCACAGUUUGAAGAAGCGAAAAGACAGAGCACAUUUUGUGGAGAAAAUUGCUUUUUUCCUGACACUUUCCGUGGUUUUAUUGGAGGCUCCGAGGCUACGAUGGUUGUGUACAUCACACACACUAUGCUGGGAGACGGCAGCAGUGACCUGACCACUGUGAGGUCAGCAGGUGGAAUCCACAGAGUGAGUGAGGAAAUUUGUGAGAGAAGUAAACCUUAGAUUUUCCUCAUUGUAAGCAAAAACGUCUGUAAACAUGUUCAUGCACCAUAGCCGUGCAUUCAAUUUACGUAUUUUAUACCACCCUGAAAUUUACAACUUGUUCUUGUUCUUGUUUUGUUGUUGUUCUUUUUCUUGAAUCACCAAAUAUUACAAGCAUGGAAAUACAGAUUGUCUAUGCAACUUUUCCUUUACAACAACAAUAUUUGGGUAUAGUAUACUCGUUGAUCAGUGUUAUCUACAAUAAAAACAAAUAUAUGUCUACUUAUUAUUGCAAGUAAGGAAUGAGCCCUAAUCAUUUACCAGCCUUCCAAAGGAUUUCAUUUGAACCUGUUCAGGCUCAGUACUAAACUACUGUAUGUGUCACAACAUGCCAGUGUAUUGAUCUUCAAAGAUUCAUCAUGUUUUAGUGUGCAAACACUUCAACGGGCAGGAACUUAUAAAUACACCUUCUGUGUUAAAAAUAAAUGAUUAGUCACACACACUGAAAACCUCAGUUGAUUAUUGCUACCCUAACCCUAGCAUACCCUUAGUUUUACUUAUGUUAUGUUGCUUUUUGUUAAUCCAUCAUGAAAUACUGAGCCCUUUCAAUUUGCUUUGUGAGAUAUUUUAAUUAGAGUCACUUCAUAGAGGAGACCCUGGGUCCUGGGGUCUCACCUAUGGCCAUGAGCAAUAAGAAAAACCCCUUGGCUCUUGUGAGCAGGGAGCUCCUGUUCCAGGGGAUUGAGAAUGUGCUUAAGCCUCCCUCUCCCUGCGAUCUCACCUCCAGGCCAUCUUUCUAAUCAGCUCACCUGCUUAGAGGAGAAUUCAAUUACACAAAAUACACACACUGGUCUGCUUCGGUAGUUUUCUGUCUUAUGUGGCGUGAGGAUGGAGACAAUAACUUUGUAAAAAGUCAUUAAUGGUAAACUAUUAUCUAAUACAGUGAAACAAAACCAGAUCAUUUCAAAAAGUGUCUAUUUUAGAGAAAUAUAGGGAUAGAUACUGUGUGUGAUUUUCUUUUAAGGGGUUUACAUUUAAUUUCAUAAUAGACCUUCUGGUCGUUUUCUGUAAAUCAUUGGGGGAUUUGGGGUUUUGAGAAAGUGUUUAGCAUUUAGUGAGAACCUAACCUAAUGUGCUGUCAUUUUCUGUUAGUGGACAAACAAUGUAUAGUCAACAACACAUAGACAUUAAAGAGGAAUUCCUAAUGUAUUUAUGUUUCUAUGACUGUCUGAUAAUGAGCAUUUAAACAUUUAUGUUUUCUGAAAGGCAAGACAAAGGUUAAUGUCUAUAGGAGUCAAUGUAAAUCCAUGUUAUAAUGGCACUUCUGCAGGUGUGUGUGUGUAUGUGUGUGAAAGAGAAAUAAAUCCAUAGAAAAUACGUUUUUACAAUUCUUGGUCGAAUAUAUUCUGAAAUAAAAUUAGAUGCAAUACUGUGUUCUGCAUGUAUACAUAUUCACUGUAGCCCACAGACUUUUUUUGUAAUCUAUGAUAAACCACAAUUUGAUACGUUGAAGAUUCAAAUCAAUAAUACAAAAUAUAAAAGACAAAUACUUCAUAGUGUACUAUGAACGUUUUGGAUAAACAGUUUUAUUUGUGAGAUUCACAAAGUAAGGUCAGCAUUUGUAGUUCAGCUCAAACACGAACAGUGAACACAUAUUUCAAUUGUAUAAUAUUAAUUUGAAAUGGGCUGUUAGGCAGAAUAGUGCUUUUCUUUUAAAUUGAUAUGUGUUGAUGCUAAUACUUUUCUACUUUUAUAUAAACAACAUUUUGAAUGCAGGACUACUACACCCACACCAAGCAACCAGGAACAAACUUCAACUGAAAUCUGUUUGUCAUUCUUCUAACACUCUAAAGAAGUGUUCAACUAUCUUGAAACAACGAGGUACACAAUAACUGUUAAGGCUCCUAAAGAAAAUGAAUAUUCCCCUGAAUAAUUCAUUUGUGGCGGUUCUUAUUUAACAAAAGGCAGAGACAAUAAGUGUGUGUGUGUGUGUGUGUGUUAACUUUUACCUCACGAUUGUUCUCCCUCCAUGUGUGUCUUGUCUCCAUUUAUUUGUUUAAACUGAUGUAUUUAAACCUAACAUUUUAUAUAAGUCUUGUUGUGUAAUAUCCUUUCUAUUUUUUCAAAUAUAUCAUAAUGUCUGUGGAUUAUGUAAAACAAAAUUGAAGGAAGGAAACUGAACCCUUAACAUAUCCCAAAAAAUACUUUGUGACCUUGUAAUGUGUUAACUCUAUAUUUACAGUUAACUGUGUGUGCAUGUUUAGUUUCGGAUGAUACUAUAUGUUUCAAUAUUAAUAAGGCUUUUCACACCUUUCAUGUAACAGCUGUAUAAUAAAAGCAAAGUGAAAUCUUC